rnacentral:rRNA from 1 species
CGAACAGACGAGGAGCUUGCUCCUCUGACGUUAGCGGCGGACGGGUGAGUAACACGUGGAUAACCUACCUAUAAGACUGGGAUAACUUCGGGAAACCGGAGCUAAUACCGGAUAAUAUAUUGAACCGCAUGGUUCAAUAGUGAAGGACGGUUUUGCUGUCACUUAUAGAUGGAUCCGCGCCGCAUUAGCUAGUUGGUAAGGUAACGGCUUACCAAGGCAACGAUGCGUAGCCGACCUGAGAGGGUGAUCGGCCACACUGGAACUGAGACACGGUCCAGACUCCUACGGGAGGCAGCAGUAGGGAAUCUUCCGCAAUGGGCGAAAGCCUGACGGAGCAACGCCGCGUGAGUGAUGAAGGUCUUCGGAUCGUAAAACUCUGUUAUUAGGGAAGAACAAAUGUGUAAGUAACUAUGCACGUCUUGACGGUACCUAAUCAGAAAGCCACGGCUAACUACGUGCCAGCAGCCGCGGUAAUACGUAGGUGGCAAGCGUUAUCCGGAAUUAUUGGGCGUAAAGCGCGCGUAGGCGGUUUUUUAAGUCUGAUGUGAAAGCCCACGGCUCAACCGUGGAGGGUCAUUGGAAACUGGAAAACUUGAGUGCAGAAGAGGAAAGUGGAAUUCCAUGUGUAGCGGUGAAAUGCGCAGAGAUAUGGAGGAACACCAGUGGCGAAGGCGACUUUCUGGUCUGUAACUGACGCUGAUGUGCGAAAGCGUGGGGAUCAAACAGGAUU